UACAUUAACGAGUACAAAGUCCAUGCCAUAUGAACCUGUCCAAAUUGUAUGAUUAAAUACAUGUAGAAUGUCUUCAUAAUAGGACAGAAUGAUUUUAAUAACAUAUGAAUCCCAUUAAUUACAAGAAAAGUUAUUGUGUCGGAUGUGCAUAUUGGUUUUUUCCUUCACAGUUCUUCUUGCGAUUGAUGCUUUAUAUCGGUCAGAUUUGGCAGAUUUAGUACCUGUACUCCUUCAAAUAGUUUGAUAAGUUCGUCUGUAUUCUUGUAAGAAUAAUCAAUUCCUAAAUUUGCCUUUAGAAUUUUAAUCAGUGUCGUGGUUUGCAGUCGGUUAUAAUAUGUAUUCGAUACCAUAAUUUAUAUUACGUAUGCCUAAGUAAUGUUUACGUAUGUUGUCCCGGUAGCACGACUUUACGCGCCUUUAAUUUGAAGAGUUCCACUAAUGGAAAUGAUAAGUAUUCUCACCGGAAAUGUAGUUCGUGUGUAGCACCAAUCAGCGGCGAACCAGUUUAGUAACCAGUAUGCUGAACGCUUCGCACUAGGCAUAAUUCGCCCCCAUUUUUUAAAAUUAUAUAUCACUUAUAUUUAAAUUAUGGGAAAAUUCACGGUGAAUUUUUAUGGAAAAUAAUUUUAACAUAAAAAAUAAUGAUCAUUUUUUAAAACCCAUCCAAUAUCAAAUCAAUUGGUAUGCAUUGAUUGAUGGGAGUCAAAACAUCUAGACACGAAUCAUGUGGGAAUGGCUGGACAUACCGGAUGUUGUUACAAAGUUGCGCCUUUUUUGUAUUUUUCAACAUGGAUUUUCAUGUUAUACAUUUCGAUUAUGAUAACCAAAUCACAGCAGUCAAUAGUUCUAAGGUAAAGUGUGUAGAAAACACAUUGAAACCAGGAGGAAGAUGCACCGUACCAUUUGAAACAGAAAAUUUAACGGAAGACGGAAGAACAGCUAGAGUACAGAGAUAUCUUAUAUGAAGGCACCGUCAUUUGCCAGAAUCUUGUUAAGAAGAAAGCUGUGGAAUUAGCAAAAAAGGGGUAGAAAGAUCUUGACACCGGAUUGCCAUUGUUGAGCAUAAUCAACACUAGCUCCAGUGGGCCACCAUUUGAUCCUGUGAAGUUAGCUGCUAUCAAAGAAUAUCUGCGCUACCACUGUGAUCAAAAUGGCUGGACAGAUUUGACAACAUCCGAAUUCAAUGCAACAAUAACAAACAAAAUAACAAAUUCAAGGAGGAUGGCAACCAAACACCCGGCCAAGCUUGAAUGUCACUAUGUGACAGGAGUUGCUGAGAAAUAGUGUACACAUCACUUUAUUCAUGUCGGUGCUUGGAUAACUCGAUCUGACACCAUCAAUGUUUUAUGGAAUUUAAUGCUCUUUGCAGGAAUGGAUUUUACAUCAUAGUGACAGUGUUCUUAAAUUGUUUCCAACAUAGUGAUGCUGAUGUGAAUGGAUUAAAAUUCAUACCUACCGUAAUACUACCGUUUGUGUAUUGAAUAUUUAAUGCAUGUGUAUAUCAUAUUAUACAACUUGAAGGAUAGGAAUUAACAAACUAUUAGGAUACAAUAUGUAAUUAUUUAGUUUAUAGGCAAAAUGUUGUCUUGCAUAACAAUGUUUUAUGGCAUUUGCUGCACAAGCAUGCAUGUUUAAAAAGUCGUGUUCAGAUGUGAAAUUGCUUUUAAUAAUUUUUACUUUUAAUAAUAUUACCAUGAUUAUAAUAGAAAAGGUUGUUUUUGAAAUGCAAUAAGAUUAGUUAGUAUUAUUAUUAUAUUAUCAAUAAAUAAUCCUGGAAACUGUACAAACUAAAAAACUAAAAUUCAUUUUCAUAUGCAUGUGUGGGUGGAGUCAACUCCUUAUAAGUAGAAAGGAAAACAGCUUGUAGCAGUUUCUUAACAGUUUUUAAGCAGUUCAUGUAUUGUCAUGUGUACAUGUGGGUGGAGUCAUUACCAUAUAAGUGGAAAAGGAAACUGCUUAUAGCAGUUGCUUAGCAGUUUUUAAGCAGUUCAUAUCCAUGUCAAUCUAUUCUAUAUAUACUGCUAAGAAACUGUCGAGGUACUGCCAAGAUACUGCUAAUGAACUGCCUAGCAACUGCUUAUAAGUUGGACUAUUUGGAAUAUUUGCGGAAUUUUGACGAAAUUGGGAACUGGUUUUAUGUUUCAUUUUCUCAUAUUACAUUCUAUUUAAAAUUCUUUGGUUUCAGUGCUAUAAGUCGGUCCAAGUAAUAGUAAAUAUUAAAAUUAUUGAUAUAUUUGCUCUAUCAGAUGAAUUAUGUAAUAUUUUCCUCAUGUUCCCAUGUUGUCAAAUUAUAAGCAUUUAUGUAAAACAUUUAUUUUGCAUCAUAUAAAUGGUCCAAGAAUAGAACUUACUGGGAACCAUUUCUUUUCUAUUUUUCUGUGAUGCAAUAUAAAUGGAAGAUUUCUGUUAACAAUUUUUCUUCCAUUUUUCUGUGAUGCAAUAUGAAUGGUGAACUCAUUUGCAUAAUUCGCAAAAACAAAUUGAAAUGAAAUUGAAAAUAAAUGGAAUAUAAAUGAUAAUAAAGUGAAUUAGAAUGAAAAA